AUGCAGUAAUGGAGCUGCAUGGAAGACAAUUGUGCAGACGUUUAAUUCCAGAGCUUAUGAACCUAGGGAAAUUGGCUCAUUGAAGAAAAAAUGGGACAAUCUGGCUCAGACACACAGAUCCCAAUACUCUGACUACCUACACAGUCAGCAGUUAACAGAGGAAGGCCAUCCUGUAAAAAGCUGUCCGUGGUAACCGAAGCAGUGAUGGCAGUGAUAGGGAGAAAUGCCUGCAACACCAAGGGAGUUGUUGGGUCAGAUCUGGACACAACAUUACUACAAAUUAAUAACUUCAAUGGCAGCAUAUCAUCUGCAGUAGCUAUGGAGGAAGAUGAGCUGUCAAGGCCUUGUGACAGUAGGACUACACAUGUUAGUGUUCCUGAUACAGACGUAGUAAAUACUCUUGAAGAGGAUCACACAUCAUUCUGAAAUUCCACUUCAGCUCGAGCAAUUCCUAAUCAGUCCUCUUCAGUUCAAGUGGUUUGUUGCAGAUGCAACUGUCAUAGGAAGAUAGAAAUCCUGAAAGAGGAAAAGUUGGGGCUACAGAUAAGACUUCUGAAAAAAC